rnacentral:rRNA from 1 species
GACGAACGCUGGCGGCGUGCCUAAUACAUGCAAGUUGAGCGAUGAAGAUUGGUGCUUGCACCAAUUUGAAGAGCAGCGCACGGGUGAGUAACGCGUGGGGAAUCUGCCUUUGAGCGGGGUACAACAUUUGGAAACGAAUGCUAAUACCGCAUAAUAUCUUUAAGCAUAAGGUUGAAGUGUAAAAUAUGCAAUUUCAUGACUCAAACAUGGUUCCGCGUUGUAUUGGUUAGGUGGUGAGGUAAAGGCUCACCAAGGCGAUGAUACAUAGCCGACCUGAGAGGGUGAUUGGCCACACUGGGACGGAGACACGCCACAAACGCAUACGGGAGGCAGCCGUAGGGAAUCGUGGGCAAUGGGUGAAAGUUAGACCGAGCAACGCCGAGUGAGGGUACAAGGUCUUCGGAUCGUAAAUCUCGGUUGGUAGAGAAGAACGUUGGUGCGCGUGUAAAGCUCAUCAAGUGACGGUAACUGCCCAGAAAGGGACGGCUAACUACGUG